rnacentral:rRNA from 1 species
CCUACGGGGUGCAGCAGUGGGGAAUAUUGGACAAUGGGCGAAAGCCUGAUCCAGCCAUGCCGCGUGUGUGAAGAAGGCCUUCGGGUUGUAAAGCACUUUCAGUGGGGAAGAAAGCCUUGGGGCUAAUACCCUCGAGGAAGGACAUCACCCACAGAAGAAGCACCGGCUAACUCCGUGCCAGCAGCCGCGGUAAUACGGAGGGUGCGAGCGUUAAUCGGAAUUACUGGGCGUAAAGCGCGCGUAGGCGGUCUGAUAAGCCGGUUGUGAAAGCCCCGGGCUCAACCUGGGAACGGCAUCCGGAACUGUCAGGCUAGAGUGCAAGAGAGGAAGGUAGAAUUCCCGGUGUAGCGGUGAAAUGCGUAGAGAUCGGGAGGAAUACCAGUGGCGAAGGCGGCCUUCUGGACUGACACUGACGCUGAGGUGCGAAAGCGUGGGUAGCAAACAGGAUUAGAUACCCCAGUAGUC